rnacentral:lncRNA from 1 species
CAUAAGCGUGUCUCAGAUUUCAGAUAGAAUGUAUAGAUCAAAUUUUACACCUAAUUAAACAUUAUCUUCUUUUAUGUGGUUAGGAUGUUUACACUAAUUAGAGAUUUAUGAGAGAAUGGAAUACCAUAGGAACAAUUUGAGACACCCUUUUGAAGCCGAUGAUGUGUUGAUUAAGAUUCCGUUAAAUUUUUCUGUAUAGUUAAAGAGAUGAUAGAGCUAAAUUCAUUCAAGUGAACUGACCAAGAUUUUGCC